AGCGAACGUUUGCGGCGGGCCUAACACAUGCAAGUCGAACGCACUAGCAAUAGUGAGUGGCGCACGGGUGCGUAACACGUGGGUAAUCAACCCUUCAGCCUGGGAUAACGACUCGAAAGGGUCGCUAAUACCGGAUACGGCGCGAGAGGCUUCGGCUUCUCACGAGAAAGCCACGCAAGGGGCACUGGAGGACGAGCCUGCGGCCCAUCAGCUAGUUGGUGAGGUAAGAGCUCACCAAGGCUAAGACGGGUAGCUGGUCUGAGAGGAUGAUCAGCCACACUGGAACUGAGACACGGUCCAGACUCCUACGGGAGGCAGCAGUGGGGAAUAUUGCGCAAUGGGCGAAAGCCUGACGCAGCCACGCCGCGUGAGCGAUGAAGGCCUUCGGUCGUAAGACUCUGUGGGAGAGACGAAGAAAGACCUGUGAAGAGCAGGCCUGACGGUAUCUCCUUAGCAAGCACCGGC
rnacentral:rRNA from 1 species